rnacentral:rRNA from 1 species
UACGGAGGGUGCAAGCGUUAUCCGGAUUCACUGGGCGUAAAGCGCACGUAGGCGGCUUACUAAGUCAGGGGUGAAAUCCUGGAGCUCAAACUCCAGAACUGCCUUUGAUACUGGUGAGCUUGAGUCCGGAAGAGGUGAGUGGAACUGCGAGUGUAGAGGUGAAAUUCGUAGAUAUUCGCAAGAACACCAGUGGCGAAGGCGGCUCACUGGUCCGGUACUGACGCUGAGGUGCGAAAGCGUGGGGAGCAAACAGG